GAUGAACGCUGGCGGCGUGCUUAACACAUGCGGGUCGAACGGGAAACCUUUUAAUGAAGCUUCGGCAGAUUUAGCUGGUUUCUAGUGGCGGACGGGUGAGUAACGCGUGGGUAACCUGCCUUAUACAGGGGGAUAACAGUCAGAAAUGACUGCUAAUACCGCAUAAGCGCACAGGGCCGCAUGGUCCGGUGUGAAAAACUCCGGUGGUAUAAGAUGGACCCGCGUUGGAUUAGCUUGUUGGUGGGGUAACGGCUCACCAAGGCGACGAUCCAUAGCCGGCCUGAGAGGGUGAACGGCCACAUUGGGACUGAGACACGGCCCAGACUCCUACGGGAGGCAGCAGUGGGGAAUAUUGCACAAUGGGGGAAACCCUGAUGCAGCGACGCCGCGUGAAGGAAGAAGUAUCUCGGUAUGUAAACUUCUAUCAGCAGGGAAGAUAGUGACGGUACCUGACUAAGAAGCCCCGGCUAACUACGUG
rnacentral:rRNA from 1 species